CAUUCACAGAGGCUCCUAGGUGUUGCGCACAACCAGCGACUGCUCCAACUCCUGCCUGCGCUGCUGGAUCUUUAGAGAAAUAAGAGCAGUAGCAGGGUUACGCUGUUGUUGUGCUCCCUGAGUCCCCUUCACCUUGAGGUCCCGGCUCUGGGAGCGGAGCAGGUCUUGGAUGUAGCCUUUGGGGUCUCUGGAGAAGCUUAGCAUGAAGUCCCUCUGGAUCUUGAGCUGGUUUAUGGACUCAAUCGUCUCAUGGAUCUACAGUUCUGGGCUCUGGCCCCACCUUACUGUCCAGAGCGCUGAUCUCCUGCUGGUUGGCUGUGGACAGGAGGAAGCUGCUCAUCUGUCCCUUCAGUGGCUCCUCCACCUCCACGUCAAUAUCAUAGCACGCCG